AAGUCAUAACAAGGUUUCCGUAGGUGAACCUGCGGAAGGAUCAUUAGUGAUUUGGCCGAAAGGCCUUUAAUCCAAUCCUCACACCUGUGAACAUGUCGGUCUUGACCCCUCCGGGGGUCUGCCGGUCUUUACAAUACUAUGUGUCAUGAACGUGAUGUAUAUAUAACAAAAAUAAAACUUUCAACAACGGAUCUCUUGGCUCUC
rnacentral:misc_RNA from 1 species